rnacentral:rRNA from 1 species
AGAGUUUGAUCCUGGCUCAGGAUGAACGCUAGCUACAGGCUUAACACAUGCAAGUCGAGGGGCAGCAUGUUGGUUGCUUGCAACCAAUGAUGGCGACCGGCGCACGGGUGAGUAACGCGUAUCCAACCUACCCUUGUCCAUCGGAUAACCCGUCGAAAGGCGGCCUAACACGAUAUGCGGUUCUCAGCAGGCAUCUAACGAGAACGAAAUGUGAAGGAGAAGGAUGGGGAUGCGUCUGAUUAGCUUGUGGCGGGUAACGCCACAAGGCACGAUCAGUAGGGGUCUGAGAGGAAGGUCCCCCANAUUGGAACUGAGACACGGUCCAAAACUCCUAGGGAGCA